UAAGAAGAAGAAAGAAAAACAAAUAAAAACAGCAUAGAAUUUUUCGUUCGAUUUCUACUAUCAAAAGUAGAUCAUUUUCGGAAAUAUGCAGACGUGCAUCCCACCGGAAAACUGUGUAACCAACCCGAAAACCGUGAAACCAACCGGAAAACCGCUGGUGCCGUCUUAUGGGGUGUCACAGCUGUGGUUGGGCACCGGAAGAUGGUUUAUGUACCGGAAGAUGGUUCCUUUGUCGAUCAAAAUACCCGGAGGAAACAUCGAAUUAGGUGUGGGAGCUGCUGCAUAGGUGUGAAGAUGGAAACCGAAAUUUUCCACCUACACACAAUCCCCCAAAGAGAAUCUGCUACUGAUUUCUACGAGGUAAUCCGAAUUACAUUGUGUGUCAAUAAGUGAGCCAUAUGAAUUGAUUGCCAAUAAAUAGUGAAUCAAA